AUGGCGCCGCCGCCACCACCGAACCAAGGUGACCUCGCCACGCCGGCCGCGCUGCGGGCGCCGGCGGACGUGAUCUCCCGGGUCUUCUCGCAGCUGGACUGCGUCGACCUCCUCAGCUGCUCCCUCGUCUGCAGGCAAUGGUGCCGCGACUCUGCGGAGCUACGGGAAGAGUGGAGGAUGGAGUACAUGGACGCCUGGAACCUGCUGGGUCUCAACAUCAAGUCCGAUACGCGAUCGCCAUGCCCAACUUGCUCCAUCAGAAACCUGCGAACCUGGUGCCCUUAA
rnacentral:rRNA from 1 species